rnacentral:lncRNA from 1 species
ACCACUCGACCAAGUUUAGGUUUGGCACUUACUGGAUACCGUUAUGGUGUACUCAUGCCCUUUCCUGCACAUGUUUUUCGUGUGCAGAUCUAGGUACUGCUUGUCAGCUGCACUAUCAGUGAUUCGAGAUAGCUUUGGAUACUUUAAGGUAUAUCUGCCGCGUCCGCAAACCUCGAAGUCCCCUUCUACUCUUUCCCAUGUCAAAUACUUCCUGUAUUUCCUUUUUGUUAGAUUAUGGAGGAUAGAGAUACUGAUUUCAUUCUGUAGUUUGUGAUUCACGGUGUUCCGGGUCUUUAGAUAGAUGUGUACAUUCGAGAGUGAUUAUUGUAUAUGCCGAGCGGCAUCUUAAAUUGCUUAUUUAAAAAUUACCUGAUAGAUAUUAGCUUUUAUGUUUUCAUUUUAUUUUUCGCAAAUGUUAGGCUUACCUAGUCGUAGAGACUAGGAGCCGUCACGACGGUUCAUGGAGGGAUCCCUUGGGUCGUGACACAUUCAUUAUGCAGAUUCAAAUCAUUCAUGGUCGAGGUAUUCAACAAGAGUAAUUUAACAAACGAGAUCAAGCACACAAACCAAAGGCUCGACUCAUACGAACAAAUCAAAAUAGAGACAGAGGUUGUAGAUAUGAACCUGAAAUUGAACUUUAAUUAAUAAAACUUCCGUAGUAACUCGAGGAGAAAUCAAAGCAGCGGUUAUGACCGGAAUUCGACACGACGAUCAAACUACAAACAGCAAACACAAACCGAACCACGAACAGACCUCGACGAUGGCCAGAACUCCGAACCAGCUUCGAACAACUACCUCACUUUAAUCGAACUCCAUAGCAGCAAUCAAACUUCUAGGAUGUCAUCCCUUAUAGUUGCUUUUAUUCCAUAAAUAAUGUCCUAAUGCUUAUGUCUUGCAUAUUGAGAAUGAUUACGUCGAAGAAGUUUCAAAAUGUACACUGAUUCUGUUCUUAAAGCCACAAUAGCAUCUUCAAACUGAAAAAUAAGCAGCAACAUUAAAUAAAUAGAACAGAGGAAAUUAGGGAAGGAUCCGAAGAAAGAAGCGCCAGAAAAAUUGAUGUAGGGAGGAGGGUUUUGAGGAUGAAGAAAAUGGCGCAGUGAAGGCUAUGAGGUGAGUGCGGCUGAGGUGUCGAGAUUUUUGGAGUACGGCUGAGGUGUUGGAUUAGAA